GAUUAAUCCAAAAGCUUCAUUACAGUGUGCAUGAGAGAAGGGAAUGUUGAUCAAAUUUCAGAGCAACUCUUUUCCAUGGACAAAUGCAGACAUACAAGUUUCAACCAUUCAACAGAAAUUUCAUGGAUCACAUUCCAACCUAGAUUAUAACGUAGUACUAUUUAACAUGCAAUAUACUCCUUUCAUGAAUGGGAAUGUUGAUUUCGACGAGAUCAAACAACUCUAUAUGGAAUUAGUCUAGAGAAACUAAAACCAACAAGAAAGGAGAAACAGCAGACAUCUAGUACCAGGCAGAAGAUGACAAGGACAAAUUCUUUUUUAUUUGAAAGAGAAAAGGAAGGGAGAGGGUACUCAAAAUAAAAUUUAAAAAAUACAUGCAAAACACAUAACGUAUCAUAAUUGGCCGUUUUUCCUACACUGGGCAGCCAAAAAGAACAAUAGUAAAAUAAUGAGAUCAAGUCUAAUCUGGAGGUCUCAGGUUUGGACCAAUAGGAUUAAGUCUUAAGGUUUUUU
rnacentral:misc_RNA from 1 species